GCUGGCGGCGUGCCUAAUACAUGCAAGUCGAGCGGACCAAAUCGGAGCUUGCUCUGAUUUGGUCAGCGGCGGACGGGUGAGUAACACGUGGGCAACCUGCCCGCAAGACCGGGAUAACUCCGGGAAACCGGAGCUAAUACCGGAUAACACCGAAGACCGCAUGGUCUUUGGUUGAAAGGCGGCCUUUGGCUGUCACUUGCGGAUGGGCCCGCGGCGCAUUAGCUAGUUGGUGAGGUAACGGCUCACCAAGGCGACGAUGCGUAGCCGGCCUGAGAGGGUGACCGGCCACACUGGGACUGAGACACGGCCCAGACUCCUACGGGAGGCAGCAGUAGGGAAUCUUCCGCAAUGGGCGAAAGCCUGACGGAGCGACGCCGCGUGAGCGAAGAAGGCCUUCGGGUCGUAAAGCUCUGUUGUGAGGGACGAAGGAGCGCCGUUCGAAGAGGGCGGCGCGGUGACGGUACCUCACGAGGAAGCCCCGGCUAACUAC
rnacentral:rRNA from 1 species